rnacentral:rRNA from 2 species
AGGUGCGAUCAUACCAGAACUAAUGCAUCGGAUCCCAUCAGAACUGCGCAGCUAAGCGUACUUGGGCGAGAGUAGAACUAGAAUGGGUGACCUCCUGGGAAGUCCUCGUGUUGCACCUC